UACGUAGGGGGCAAGCGUUGUCCGGAUUUAUUGGGCGUAAAGAGCGUGUAGGCGGCUUGGUAGGUCCGCUGUGAAAACUCGAGGCUCAACCUCGAGAUGUCGGCGGAAACCACUUGGCUAGAGUCCGGAAGAGGAGAGUGGAAUUCCUGGUGUAGCGGUGAAAUGCGCAGAUAUCAGGAAGAACACCUAUGGCGAAGGCAGCUCUCUGGACGGUACUGACGCUGAGACGCGAAAGCGUGGGGAGCGAACAGG
rnacentral:rRNA from 1 species